UACGGAGGGGGCUAGGGUUGUUCGGAAUUACUGGGCGGAAGCGCGCGUAGGCGGACCUGCAAGUCGGGGGUGAGAGCCCGAGGCUCAACCUCGGAACUGCCUUCGAUACUGCGGGUCUCGAGUCCGGGAGAGGUGAGUGGAAGUCCUAGUGUAGAGGUGAAAUUCGUAGAUAUUAGGAAUAACACAAUUCGCGAAGGCGGCUCACUGGCCCGGUCCUGACCCUGUGGCGCGAAAGCGUGGGCGGCAAACAGG
rnacentral:rRNA from 1 species